rnacentral:lncRNA from 1 species
UGAGUUUCCGCCCGAUGCUGUUCGUGCAAUCGGUGCUCCACGCUGAUCUGAGCUCGCCUUCUUCAUCCAGCGCUUCGAGGGCACUUCUCGGCGAGGAUGGGAGCUGGUCGAUAAGAGGCACGAUGGGCACACGCGGGUGGAGCGGCUGUUGUCUCGCCUGGGGCGCAAGGUUGCGGUUGGUCAAAGAGGUGUGGAGUGGGCACGAGAGCUUCACGUCUUUCUUAAACCUAUUUUUGCGUCACGAGAACAAUAUACCAAAGGUGGUAACGGGGUACCAAGAUCGAGAGAGUGUAAAGACUCUGCUCGCUCGUGAAUGCUUCGGCUUCCAUGGCGAUCAUGGAGCGUCAAGGCCAGCUCCAAGCACGCUUCUGCUUCCACUUAGAUCUCGACAGAGUGUCAAGACCCUGCUCGCUUGUUUCUCACCAGCUCCAAGCACGCUUCGGCUUCCAUGCAGACCUCGACAGAGUGUCAAGACCCCGUGUCGCCUGUUCCGCCAGCUCCAAGCACGCUUCAACUUCCAUGGCCAGCUGCAACACUUCCUCUAGAGCCCGCUUCAGCUUCCACACCCGUCCUUGAGCUAGCCCGUUUGAACUCCCUCAACCAUGCGACGCAAGACCCUGCUUUAUCACUUCUCAGCACACUCUCCUCCUAGCUUCUCGUGUUUGAGCACUUCAGCUUCUCGGCCAGCCGUCACAAGACAACAGCUUCUUCGGUCAGCCGCUACGCCAUAGCUGAAAUCCCAACUGCUCCAAAAAUUCAAAAAGCCGCCAUGUCACGGGUCAGUCGCAUCAAGUGUACAGCUCUCGUGAAUGCAGAACUACCAAGGAGCAACUUUACGCAAGAGUAAGCUAGACUUAUUUUGUCCUCGCUCACAAAGUACCGCACAGCAUGUUACCUGGCACCACCCAAUGAAAACGGCAAUCAAUUCAAUGGGAAGCCACAUGCCUCAACUUCUGGGAUUGUUAUUCCAUAUGUGUGGGCGAAAACCCCUUCCUCCACGAUGAAGACCCCAUCUCUGUAACGCAUAGCUGGAACUUUAAACCAAAGCUCCUCACUUUUUUCCGACCUGUGACAAGACAAGAAGCUUUGCAAGCUUUGCAAGAUCGACACAAGAGCAAGCAAGACGCCCAUGGGAAAGACAGUCAAGUGCACAAACCCACAAAGAACGAGAAGAGCUUGCGCCCCACAAAUCAACCCUCAUCCUCGGUCUCAAGAGCAAGCUCCAAUACUCAUUGGCACCACAACAAGACCAAGCAAGCCCGCGUGCCUCUCACAAACCUCGUCGCUGGAGCAUCGGGAGCCACAUCUGUCCUUUCUCCCCAUUCUCCACGAUGCAACUCCGCCUAUAAGGUUAUCUCCAUCGUGACAAAAGCCUCGACAACCCGAGGCAGCAAUUCGGCAUCGUUAUGACCAUGGACCAGCUCAAGAAGUUUUGCCGCAAGUACGGCAACCUUGGCAGUAUGGCAAGACAAAAGAAACAAAGAGAAGAGCAUUCUUCAAGGAUCUCAAGCAGUGAGAGAAGGCAGCAUGUGCCAAACUAACAAGUUCAAGUAGCUCAACCGUUGGACUUCACUUCAAUUCCUAUUGCGGAGUCAGCUGGCAACACCUUG